AGGACGAACGCUGGCGGCGUGCUUAACACAUGCAAGUCGAACGAUUCCGGGUCUUCGGGCUCGGUUUAGUGGCGAACGGGUGAGUAACACGUGGGCAACCUGCCCUCCACUCUGGGAUAACUCCGGGAAACCGGGGCUAAUACUGGAUACGACCUUCGGCCGCAUGGCUGGGGGUGGAAAGUUUUUCGGUGGAGGAUGGGCCCGCGGCCUAUCAGCUUGUUGGUGGGGUGAUGGCCUACCAAGGCGACGACGGGUAG
rnacentral:rRNA from 1 species